GGGUUGACGUAGAGUUUGAUCCUGGCUCAGUCGUACCGGUAGCCGUAGAGUUUGAUCCUGCCUCGGCUGAGUAAGGCGUAUGCAACCUACCUUAUACAGGGGAAUAGCCCGAAGAAAUUCGGAUUAAUGCUCCAUGGUUUAUCGAUAUGGCAUCGUAUUGAUAAUAAAGAUUUAUCGGUAUAAGAUGGGCAUGCGUAUCAUUAGCUAGUUGGUGUGGUAACGGCAUACCAAGGCAACGAUGAUUAGGGGUCCUGAGAGGGAGAUCCCCCACACUGGUACUGAGACACGGACCAGACUCCUACGGGAGGCAGCAGUGAGGAAUAUUGGUCAAUGGAGGCAACUCUGAACCAGCCAUGCCGCGUGCAGGAUGACGGUCCUAUGGAUUGUAAACUGCUUUUGUACAGGAAGAAACCUCCCUACGAGUAGGGACUUGACGGUACUGUAAGAAUAAGGAUCGGCUAACUCCGUGCCAGCAGCCGCGGUAAUACGGAGGAUCCGAGCGUUAUCCGGAAUUAUUGGGUUUAAAGGGUUCGUAGGCGGCUUUGUAAGUCAGUGGUGAAAUUUCCUAGCUUAACUAGGACACUGCCAUUGAUACUGCAGAGCUUGAAUAAUAUGGAAGUAACUAGAAUAUGUAGUGUAGCGGUGAAAUGCUUAGAUAUUACAUGGAAUACCAAUUGCGAAGGCAGGUUACUACGUAUUUAUUGACGCUGAUGAACGAAAGCGUGGGGAGCGAACAGGAUUAGAUACCCUGGUAGUCCACGCCGUAAACGAUGGAUACUAGCUGUUCGGUUUUCGGACUGAGUGGCUAAGCGAAAGUGAUAAGUAUCCCACCUGGGGAGUACGUUCGCAAGAAUGAAACUCAAAGGAAUUGACGGGGGCCCGCACAAGCGGUGGAGCAUGUGGUUUAAUUCGAUGAUACGCGAGGAACCUUACCAGGGCUUAAAUGUAGAUUGACAGAUUUGGAAACAGAUUUUUCUUCGGACAAUUUACAAGGUGCUGCAUGGUUGUCGUCAGCUCGUGCCGUGAGGUGUCAGGUUAAGUCCUAUAACGAGCGCAACCCCUAUUGUUAGUUACCAGCGCGUAGAGGCGGGGACUCUAGCAAGACUGCCGGUGCAAACCGUGAGGAAGGUGGGGAUGACGUCAAAUCAUCACGGCCCUUACGUCCUGGGCUACACACGUGCUACAAUGGCAAGUACAGAAAGCAGCUACCUGGCAACAGGAUGCGAAUCUCCAAAGCUUGUCUCAGUUCGGAUUGGAGUUUGCAACUCGACUCUAUGAAGCUGGAACCAGUAGUAAUCGGAGUCAACCCUGAUUCAGUCGUAACAAGGUCGCCCUAGAGUUUGAUCCUGGCUCAGUCCUAACAAGGUAGCCGUACGAGUUUGAUCCUGGCUCAGUCGUAACAAGGUAGCCGAGAGUAAGUUUAAA
rnacentral:rRNA from 1 species